GUGGGGAAUCUUCCGCAAUGGACGAAAGUCUGACGCAGCAAUACCGCGUGAGUGAAGAAGGUUUUCGGAUCGUAAAACUCUUUUAUUGGGGAAGAAGAAGUGACGGUACCCAAUGAAGAAGUCCCGGCUAACUACGUGCCAGCAGCCGCGGUAAUACGUAGGGGACAAGCGUUGUCCGGAAUCACUGGGCGUAAAGGGCGCGUAGGCGGUUUUAUAAGUCAGAUGUGAAAGGUACCGGCUCAACCGGUGACGUGCAUUUGAAACUGUAAGACUUGAGUACUGGAGAGGCAAGUGGAAUUCCUAGUGUAGCGGUGAAAUGCGUAGAUAUUAGGAGGAACACCGGUGGCGAAGGCGGCUUGCUGGACAGAUACUGACGCUGAGGUGCGAAAGCGUGGGGAGCGAACAGGAUUAGAAACCCCGGUAGUCC
rnacentral:rRNA from 1 species